AUAUAUGCAUCACAGUUAAAAAGAACAAUCUUGUUUACUCUCAUAGGCGUGUAUAUAUCGCCUUCCAGCAAUUUCGAUACUAAAAGAUUAGCGGAUAUUUUGAGUGUUGGUCCCGCCCCAUGGGUUAUCAUAGGAUAUUUCAAUGCACACCAUCCAGCAUGGGGAAGUACAAAGACAAAUGCAAGAGGACGAAGAUUAGCAAGCAUCGCCUACAACUAUGGCCUUACUCUCUUGAACGAUGGUAGCCUCGCCUUUCUUCGAGGCGUGAAAUGCGGCAGCUGCCUCGACCUUGCUUUCGUCACCAACUCUCUCGCCAGAUAUGUGGUUUCCAGAUAUUGAGACACAUGGGAGUGAUCACAUUCCCACCUAUUUGAACAUCAAAUGCUUGUCGUCUAGAUCUGGCCCACGGAAUACCAUUCGGACGAUUCAAUGGGCGAACUUCAAAUCUGAUAUGGAAGAUGCCUGCCGCGAGAGCCUACCCUCUGGGUUAGAGCGAAGAAUUAAAAGUACGAUGCGAAACGCCACUCGCGUGCUGACGAUCUCUUACACGCGAAACGACUUCGACAUAGAAUUAGAGCGACUUCGAGCACUUCGUCGCCGGGCGGAACGUCGAUAUCGACGUACAAAAUCAAUCCAUGACCUUAGGGCAGCCAGGAGGAUUCAAAAGAAGUUUCAGCGUCGAAUGGAUAUAUAAGCGUCGGAACGUUGGUCAACGUUUUGUCACACUCGACCCCCGCAAGCCACUGUCUCACAUUUGGAAAACGGUGCAAGCUCUGCGUUGCCUUCCGGGACAGCGUUUUCCAUUCAAGGCGCUUGCGCUUUUCCAAGGGCGGCAAGACAUUGAUGUCGAAGACUUUUGUGCGUGUAUGGCAGACCAAGCGACACGUCCAGAUCCUCCAGGCCGAGAUGACGUUCCCCAUUCCCGUGAUUGCCGCAUGGACCUUCCUUUUACAAUGGAGGAGCUCGAGGCGGCACUAGCUCUCUGCAGGCGCUCACCGUGUACGGAUCCAGAUGGUAUAUCAUACCGAGCCUUGUGCUAUCUCGGAGAAUCCGCACGGAUAGCAUUGUUGACUCUACAACACCUCAUGGCAGGAGGGAAAUGUCCCUGACGAAUGGAAAGUGAGCCGCCUGGUGCCAAUAUUGAAGUAGGGCAAAUCCCCGCUAGUGCUCACCUCUUAGCGCCCAACAGCGUUGGCUAGCUGUGUAGAAAAGAUAAUGGAACGGAUGAUCCUUGACCGCCUGGAAUGGUACCUUGAACACAAGAUUUAUCCGAAUUCCAUGGCUGGUUUCCAACGUGACCGCUCUUCCCUCGACAAUGUAGUUGAUCUCGUUUCAUAUGUCCAGCACGAAAGGUCCCGAAAACGUUUAUCUGCAGCUUUAUUCUUAGAUGUGAAAGGGGCAUACGAUAACGUAAUACAUAAGGCCAUUCUCGACGCUCUUGUGAUGGUUAGCCUCGGUGGUCGAGUAUUCUUGUGGAUUGCAAGUUACUUAGCUGCAAGGUCAUUAUGUGUUAACUGAAUGGCCCAACGGCGCGACACUAUACCAGCAGGGGCGUUCCUCAAGGCGGUGCUCUCAGCCCGACGCUAUUCGACGUCGCUCUUAUUGGGCUUGCUGAAUACUGGCCAACUACCACCAAAUUUCAACAUACGCAGACAUCUGUGUCUGGACUUCGUCAGUCACACGUCCUCAGAUAUGUGCACGGCUUCAAAGAGCGGCUAUUUUGACAGCGAGCUACUUGUGUGAACAAGGUCUCGGCAUAUCACCAGAAAAAUGCGCCCUAGUGGCAUUUACUCGCAAACCAAUAACGCCUUAUGUCAUCUCAAUGGGCGGACCAUUUCCUAUAUAUGUCAGAGCCCAGAUUUCUUGGCGUAAUUAUCGACAGAGACCUCUGUUGGAGCCCACACGUGGCCUACAUGAAACGGCGCCUGACAGCAACCUCCCAGUUUAACUACUUGACAGGAAAGACGUGGGGGAUGUCAGUUGACACAAUGAUAUGACUCUACAGAGGUCUUUCUCGGUUUUCUAAUAUAUAGUCGACCUGUACUGAACAAAUAUUCGUGUUCUGCAGGCAGCACAAGCUCAAGAACUCAGUCUGCCUUGGUUUGCCCAGAUGAACGUCAACAAAGGCUACUAUUGCGACUGCUCGGGACCAUCCAAUGCAAACUCGCAUCACGGUGGAAGCCCUGAGAACGCACAUCAGACAUUUUGCACGUGCCCGCUAUCGCCACCUUGCAACACUACCUUCAGACAGGCACCAAUCAUUCUCUAAAACACAAGUACAACGACAAACUUCCCUCGGGCUUCACCGCUGCAUCUAAACCAUCGAUACUCCUUGGUGUCUUGUCAGCCCGACAGUCCAUCUCAGCGUACCAGGAAUCGGUAAAAAGUCUAAGCUGUCGUCGCCUGUGCUGAAACAACUCUCUGCUUCUGCACGAGAGGUACGCGGACAGUGCACAUAUUUAUACUGAUGGUUCCACAAACAUCCAAUGUUCGUCCGGUGCUGUGGUCGUCCCAGCAAGAGGUAUUACCAUCAGCUUUAGGUCUGACCACCCAACGACAUCAACAUCUAUGGAACUAGCUGCUCUUCGCGCUGCACUUUGUUUCGUCAAUCGGGAACUAUCUCGACAAUGGUCAAUUUUCGGUGACUCAAACGCAGCCCUACAAUCUGUGCUAUCAGCUCUGCGUCGCGGGGCAUUCGAACAGCUCGUGCUCGAUAUUAGAUGUCCUUUCUCAUGUGAUGUAUGGAGUUUCAGUGGCUGCCAAGUCACUGCGGCGUCAUAGGUAAUGAAGACGCCGAUAAAGUCGCUCGGGCAGCUCUUGAAGACACACAGGAAAAGGCCAUACCACUUUCACGGUCCGACGCAGCCAGCAUACUUCGAGUGCUUGCACGGGAGAUCACGCUCUCUCUGCGGUGCACACUAAGCAGCCAGACCAAUCGGAGCAAUCGUCAACACGACCUGCCCUCCUUGAUGCAUCUCUUUAUUCCAACUGGACUCUGCCGAAGUGAGGCCGCCCUGCUUUAUCGCUUAUGGCUGGUGGUGGCCUUCACGAAAUCUUACUCGUUUCGAAUUGGAAUGGCCGACAACGCUCUCUGCUAUGCCUGUCUUUGCGAGGAGACGCUGGAACAUUCUCUGCGACUGUCCUGAAUAUAAUGUUCAGAGACAGUCCCUGGCGUCCGUUCUAGCGCACCUUGAGAAUAGACUAUUGUCAGUUGCAACUAUUUUCACAUAUCGCCGACAGACAUCGCAGCUGAAGGCGACGAAGGGAUUGCUUCGGUUUAUGAAGGAGACGGGCUUGCGGGCGGCUGUGACAGUGAUGUCACGUACCGCGCAAGAGUGACAGACUAACUAACGAUGUGUGUGCCGUGUUAUGUGCUCCCUUUCUCUUCUCCCCAUCUUUCAUCCCUCAUCCCGCUCCCAUGUGUAGGGUAGCAAACCGGUCAAGCUAAACUGGUUAUUCUCCCUGCCUUCCUUCUCCACAUUUUCCUUCAUUCGUUCCUACCGUCUGCUUUCCAUUGCGGCUAUUCACAAGCAUAUAUCCAGCGGGCGGUUCUGCACAUCUAGUCUCCGGCCGUGUUACGCCUGCGUUUUUCUCGCUACUGGCUUUCAGCUGGGAGACGCAGAUUCGUUAAACUCCCUGCACUACUUCUGACAAGUACCAUCUAUACACUCCACUGGUACUACGGUUGUCUCCUCGUGUGGCGGAUAAGCCCUUUGGCAUUUAAGGUUCCGAACGUCUGCUUUUGAAUGAAGCCGUGUUUUCCCCUGACGGCUAUGGUUAGUGUUCUCUCAGUGCUCCUUUUCUUAAUCCUGUUGCUACACCUUGCCGGUCCCGCAAGUACACGAAGUUUGUGGGCUUCCGAUGAAAUUUGCUCUCGAAUGUAUUUACUAUGCAGACCUUCGAGGUUAGGUUUAUGCUUCGGAAGACUUCCUUCGCCAGAGUUUCCAAAAGGCUUUUGUAUGUCGCUCUCAGAGUAAAACGACGUUGAAUUUCUUCCGUUCCUGGCUAUAUUUCUUAGCUGAUUUCAUUUCCUCACCCGUAAUUUAUUUCGCCUGCUCGGAGUGCCGUAUUUUUCACAAUGCUUUUGUAACUCUACGUAGUGUUCACUUUUGUUGAAGGUUGCCAUCCUAUUCAAUGUUUCCUCCCAGUUUUCUGGUUCCACCCAUCGGGUCCGCAGAAUAGGUUCUCCAGCUACGUCGUGAACUUGUGUUAACGAUUGCUUCUUAGUGAUACCAUCUACUUCAUAUGCUCGGGUAUAUAGUUAUCCAUUAUGCAGUACACAUCCACCGAUCGCUUUCCGCAGUAGACUUGAAAACUACGAGUGAGCCUUUCAGAGAAACCGCCCCCACACGGUGUUUUGUGGAGGAAAUUUCCACUUGGUGAUAGGUCAUAAAUUCAGUUGUUUAUCGACGUAAUGUUGCUUCGACCGCAUUCAAUCCGUUAUUUGUUCUCCUGAAAGUCUUCUUGCAUUGUUGCUGAGCACAUUUAUGUUUGAGCCGAGAAACGCCGAAAAUAGUGUAGAAAACCGAUGUGAAGUCUCCAACAGUUUCGCAGUGUACCUCCUGUUGCGGCAAAUGUGAAAGUUGCUACACAAAGUGUGGCUAUGUCUCCUUUUUUUUUUGUAGUUGCUCCCAGCGCACCGUUGAAACGUAGACCAGCUAUUUCAGACAAUUUGGUCUUCGUUACUCUAUCCUCAAGAGGAGGUACUUCUUACAAGGAUCUGGAAUUGUAUCUUCGCCACACAACGCACUGUCGUAUUUCUUACACGUAUACGCACCAGUGAACCGCGUACUCCACCGUGAAGUUUGUCCAUAUACGUGUCGCACUAAUAGUCAAUGGAUUUCUUCCAUUUACAUGUGAUCGGGUGCUGCUCGUCUUGUGAUACGGGCCCUACCGAUGGCGCCCUUGAAGUCUCAUUGUAUCUUUAUGUUAAUAUAUCUGGUAUUCACCUACUGACGGCACAUUCGCUUGCUUGCUGAAUUUCUGCAAUUUUUCAAUAUACACUUUGUUCUAGCCAAAUGAGGCAGGUGUCGGCGGUAUUUCUUCUGCUUUUAGUGGACCGUAGAACUUGUCCUCCAAUAUUCACGGAACGAAACAUUCACGCAGUUGCUCUCCAAAUAUUCGAGUAACUGCCGAACUUGUCUACUUCAAUGCCUCGUCUUGAGAUCCUUUUCGACGCAUAUCUGAAACGAGAUUCAUCUACUUUCCUUUCAUUGUUAUCCGGCAUUUUGUAACGGCUAUUUGGUCUGUAGCAACUGGGAUCCCUUCCACGAAAUUGUUCACUACAUCUUUCCUACGGUGAUUCCUGGUUAUAUCUGCUCAACCUUUCACUACUAUUGAUGCAUCGCCAUUGUUCUCCUACUCAGUAAUUUUUUUUCUUUAGUCUGUGUUCAGCGGGUGCUUCGUGCAUUUUCUUUCUCCAAUGCAGCAUGAUUGUACAAGCGGUCCGAUACUUUACUGUUGCUCGCAAGUUCUAAUUUGCGAGAUUGACGGCGGUGUUCAUUAGAGCUACUCUGUUCUUUGCCAGGACCAGCAGUGUCUCCGCUGUGAUAUUACCAAGAAUGCUGCACUUGAAUACAACGCCGGGCGUGCAUCCGAGAAGUGUCAGUGCUUACGUUCCGUUUCUUGUUGUCGAUGCGCUCUUCAGUCCUUUAUCUUCCUCGGUAUAUUUUUCCAUAGAUCACUUAUCUUCCUCUGGAAGAGGGUUGUCCCAAGAUUCCGGGUUUUUCCCGUCACUGACUACCGAUAUUGGCUGUUACAUUGCUGGACGUUAAAUUCCAGCCGACCGAAUAUUUUUGCCCUGGCUUGAAGUACUGGUCGCUUCGUGAGCAUUUCACUCGAGUCUUCAUAUGUAUAUGACAGCAGAAUACCGUCGGCCGUGUCCCAGUUCAUUCCUAGAAUACUGGGCUGGCUGGAUCACGUCAGAACGGCACCUUGAUGCGCAUCUCAACUCUAAUUUCUUCACUGUUUGAUCUCCCUUUCCAAAGAUUCAUUGCUGCUCGGCGAAUUUUUUUUUUUGCUUCUACGCACACGCCUUUUGCCUGGUUUAUGAUGUUCCAAGCAUAACUUCAUCAACACAAACUUAAUUACGUUUGCUGUCAUUGCAAGAAUUCCAAAAUUCAUUCACAGUGUAGGUACAUCUGCAUUCAAAUUUCCCCCCGUCUGAAGAUAAUAAUUCAGAAGUCCUGAUCUUAACCACGAGGCGUCAAAUACGUUUAAUUUUCUUGCUAGUCGAUAUUCUCUAAUUUCUCAAUGGCGCGAUAUGGUAGCUAUUGUUCAUUCUUCCGAGCACGCUCAUUCUGCGAUUCCAAGCGUGAAGCAUCUCGCAUCGAACAGUUGUAUUUUUAUCUCGGUACUGAAUUUGUCUAGUGCCUUCGAGAUCGUCUUCUGAUUGCUACUCGUUGAUUUCCACGUUCACUUGAUCUCUCCAUCAUUCUGAACAGUCCUUGUGACUACAUAGUCCACUUUAUGCAUCGUUUCUUUCUGAAGAGUUAAGCCAGUAUUUUCCGCCUCCAAAAAAUUUCAAAAUGCAAGUUUCGUCAGUUUCUGCGACGUCAAGAACCAUGGCGAGUUUCGCAUUUCGCAGUUCUCUUCUACACCACAUGGGUCGGGCACAAUCCAGUCGGAAGUUUUCUAUCUUCCAUUGUAACUUCGUUUGGUAUUCUCACUGGGCGUUCCUCCUCACCUCCACUACUACUAGUGCUGCACUCCCGUUUUCAACUGCAGUCAACAAGCGUACCCAGCGUGCUCUUGCACGACUACGGUCUGCGAUCCAAAAGAUUACUUCGGCCACGAGCAUCACCUGUUCGAGGAGCGUCCUUGGCUGCUUCUACGUUCCCUCGCCAGUGGCGUCCUGCUGGUAGACAGGACUUGCCUCCUCACCCUGCACUACUACUGGUUCUGCACUCGCGUUUUCAACUGCGGUCCACAAGCGUACCCAGCGUGCUCUUGCACGACUCUACCGUCUGCGCUCCAAAAGGUUACUUCGACCACGAGCAUCACCUCUUCCGGUAGCGUCUUUGGCUGCUUCUACGUUCCCUCGCCAGUGGCGUCCUGCUGGUAGACUGGACUUGCCUCCUCGCCCUGCACUACUACUGGUUCUGCACUCCUGUUCAACUGUGGUCCACAAGCGUACCCAGCGUGUUCUUGCACGACUACGGUCUGCGAUCCAAAAGAUUACUUCGGCCACGAGCAUCACCUUUUCCAGGAGCGUCUUGGGCUGCUUCUACGUUCCCUCGCCAGUGGCGUCCUGCUGGUAGACUGGACUUGCCUCCUCACCCUGCACUACUACUGGUUCUGCACUCCUGUUCAACUGUGGUCCACAAGCGUACCCAGCGUGUUCUUGCACGACUACGGUCUGCGAUCCAAAAAAUUACUUCGGCCACGAGCAUCACCUUUUCCAGGAGCGUCUUGAGCUGCUUCUACGUUCCCUCGCCAGUGGCGUCCUGCUGGUAGACUGGAGUUGCCUCCUCACCCUGCACUACUACUGGUUCUGCACUCCUGUUCAACUGCGGUCCACAAGCGUAUUCAGCGUGCUCUUGCACGCCUACGGUCGGCGAUCCAAAAGAUUACUUCGGCCACGAGCAUCACCUUUUCCAGGAGCGUCUUGGGCUGCUUCUACGUUCCCUCGCCAGUGGCGUCCUGCUGGUAGACUGGACUUGCCUCCUCGCCCUGCACUACUACUGGUUCUGCACUCCCGUUUUCAACUGCGGUGCGCAAGCGUACCCAGCGUGCUCUUGCACGACUCUACGGUAUGCGCUUCAAAAGAUUACUUCGACCACGAGCAUCACCUGUUCCGGGAGCGACUACUAUUGCUUCUACAUUCCCUCACCAGUGGCGUCCUGCUGGUAGACUGGACUUGCCUCCUCGCCGUGCACUACUGGUUCUGCACUCCCGUUUUCAACUGCGGUGCGCAAGCGUACCCAGCGUGCUCUUGCACGACUCUACGGUAUGCGCUUCAAAAGAUUACUUCGACCACGAGCAUCACCUGUUCCGGGAGCGACUACUAUUGCUUCUACAUUCCCUCACCAGUGGCGUCCUGCUGGUAGACUGGACUUGCCUCCUCGCCGUGCACUACUGGUUCUGCACUCCCGUUUUCAACUGCGGUGCGCAAGCGUACCCAGCGUGCUCUUGCACGACUCUACGGUAUGCGCUUCAAAAGAUUACUUCGACCACGAGCAUCACCUGUUCCGGGAGCGACUACUAUUGCUUCUACAUUCCCUCACCAGUGGCGUCCUGCUGGUAGACUGGACUUGCCUCCUCGCCGUGCACUACUGGUUCUGCACUCCCGUUUUCAACUGCGGUGCGCAAGCGUACCCAGCGUGCUCUUGCACGACUCUACGGUAUGCGCUUCAAAAGAUUACUUCGACCACGAGCAUCACCUGUUCCGGGAGCGACUACUAUUGCUUCUACAUUCCCUCACCAGUGGCGUCCUGCUGGUAGACUGGACUUGCCUCCUCGCCGUGCACUACUGGUUCUGCACUCCUGUUCAACUGUGGUCCACAAGCGUACCCAGCGUGCUCUUGCACGACUCUACGGUAUGCGCUUCAAAAGAUUACUUCGACCACGAGCAUCACCUGUUCCGGGAGCGACUACUAUUGCUUCUACAUUCCCUCACCAGUUGCGUCCUGCUGGUAGACUGGACUUGCCUCCUCGCCCUGCACUACUGGUUCUGCACUCCUGUUCAACUGCGGUCCACAAGCGUACUCAGCGUGCUCUUGCACGCCUACGGUCGGCGAUCCAAAAGAUUACUUCGGCCACGAGCAUCACCUGUUCCAGGAGCGUCUUGGGCUGCUUCUACGUUCCCUCGCCAGUGGCGUCCUGCUGGUAGACUGGACUUGCCUCCUCGCCCUGCACUACUACUGGUUCUGCACUCCUGUUUACAAUUGCGGUACACAAGAGUACCCAGCGUGCUCUUGACGACUCUACGGUCUGCGCUCCAAAAGGUUACUUCUGCCGCAGGAAUCGCCUGUUCCAGGAGCGGCUGCUACUGCUUCUAUAUUCCCUCGCCAGUGGCGUCUUGCUCGUAGGCUGGACUUGUCUCCUCGCCCUGCACUACUACUGGUUCUGCACUCCUGUUUUAGAUUGCGUUGGGUACCUAGCACGCUCCUGCACGUAGACUAUCCGGUCUGCGCUCCGAAAGAGAUUACUUCCGGCACGAGCAUCACCGUUCCAUGUGCGACUGCUAUUGCUUCUACGUUCUCUCGCCGACGGCGUCCUGCUGGCAGACUGAACUUAGCCUGGCGCCCUUGGACUUAAUUUUGGUUCCCAGUGUUUGCUGUCGCUUGUGGCGCAAGAGAAAUGUUCCAGCACGCCCAUUUACAAGAACAUGCCUGGCUGGCCUUGCCUCACGAGCAGCCAUCUUCAGCCCGAUCGUCCUGCCACGUGCUCUCUACAACAAGCUUCCUCGUGAACGCGUCGUACGCCUGUCUUGGCGGUGUCCUGCACGAUGUCGACGGCGUGUUCAUGCUCUGAAGGACUGCGUGUCGUCACCAUCCCGCGACCGUCUAUCCGAUGUGCUCCUACAGUUCGCUGUUGCCCUUUUCCGCCGGCAUAUUUAACGAGUUUAGUGUAGCAAGCUUUUCUGCUUUGAAAGAGUGGUACGUUGCUCAGCGAAUGGAUGGCGCUUCUAGAAAUCGGGUUAAUACGAAGCAGAUCAGUAAAAAAGGUUUACUUACGUGGACAUCACUCAGUCCUUAAUGACUGUCAACGUUUUCAUGAGCCAAUCUGUAAAUUUUUGGUGGCGAGAGUAAUGGACGUUCAUUGACAUUGUGCACUUUUGUAGUAGUGUGUGCGUGCGUGUGCAUGUCACCUACUGUGUUUUUUUUUCGAUCGAGAAUGUAUAUGGGCUCCGCCGCUAACUGGCGCACUUAGAAUUUUUAUAUUUUGGUAGCAUUUCCAGCGUCACAGUUGCUUCACUUUUCCCAGUUCAUUCCUGUUGAGAGAGAGAAACUUUGUUAGACCAGGCUUCUUGAGGCCAAAGGUGGGUGGCCUAUCCUCAGUCCAGGUAGCCAUGUCUCGCUGCCGUCGCCCGAGCCCUGUUCACCAACCGUAGCUGGCUGUCAGGGUCUUGCGUCACCAGCAGAGCCUCCCACUGGUCUUUCAAUUCUUCCUUCAUAUCCGCUUCUUCCUGCUUGUUAUCGCUUGGUGAUGAUGGCGGUGGUACUUCGCGGUUAUUUCUGCACUCCAGCACCAUAUGGCGCAAGGUGUUGGGCGUGUCCGGCGGGCAGAACUUGCAGUCUCGCCCGUAGGUUCCCGGAUACAUGGCGUGCAGGAGUGUUCCAUGCGGGUAGGUUCCAGCCUGGAGUCUUCUCCAGGUUACCGCUUGCUCCCUACUCAUCGUCUUAUGCGCGGGCGGGUAGCGACGCCUCUGCUUCCUGUAGUGCGCCAGGAUGUCCGAGUACUUCUUGGACAUCCGUUCAUUAUCCUCAUCGCAGUCGUUGGUCCGUGUUCUCUGCGUGUCGGAGAUGGCUCGGCGUGCAUGAUAUCGAGCCGCGGCGUGCGCCGUCUGGUACCCCGCGAGAGACUAGUGUCCCGGCGUCCAGAGGAUUUGUGCCGUUUCUAUCUCGGUGUUGUUCAAGACCUGAAGUGCUGCCUUUCCGAUCCUUCCGUUCACAUACCUCCUGCACGCUUCUUGCGAGUCCUUCACCACGGUAACCAGGGUCUUCUUGCACGUUGCGAUGGCCAGCGCUAUGCCCAGCUCCUCCGCUGUGCUCGCGUCCUUGGCACGUAUGGAUGUGGCUGUAAGUUGUUCGCCCUUCUCGUCGACCACGCUGAUUGCAAAUCGGUCGUAUGUUCUGUACGCAGCUGCGUCCAUGUAUCUCACAUUUUCUUUGUGCUGUUUGUGCGUUCCAGUAUGUGCUUGAGCGCCUGUAUUCUCGCCUGUCUCCUUUCCUUGUCGUACUCGGGAUGAAUGUUUCUGGGAAUGGUACUUAUCUGUAGCUUGUCCCUGAUCUCGUGUGGGAUACGCUGAGGUAGGUGCCUCUCAUCCUCGACUUGGUAGCCCAAAUCUUAGAGCAGGGCUCUUCCCGUUUUUGUUAGCUUUAGUCUCUCCAGUUGGUUGACGUUGUGCGCUUCCACGGGCUCUUCCCACGUGUUGUGAACUACCAUUUUGAGUAGUUUCACUGUGGAUGUGGAAGGGGACAGGCCCAACGCAAUUUUGUAGGAUUUUCUGAUGAGGGCGUUUACUUUGUCUCGUUAACUGUUCAUGUCAACGUAUGGGGUCCCGUAGGUGACGAUGCUCGUGAACAGCGCUUGUAUUAUUCUCGUGCAGUCUUCCUCCUUCAGUCCGUGCCUUUUGCUCGUCACUCUUUUGAUAAGGUGGGUUAUUUGUUGCAUUGUUCUCUGAAUUUUUUCCAACUCUGCUGCCCCGACCCCGUCCUUUUGAAUCAGGAGCCCGAGGAUGCGGAGCCUCGUUACCUGCGGAAUCAUGCCUCCCACCUUUACUUCCGGGUCUGGUAUAUGCUGCGGUUGUCGGCCUCUUGUGCGCUUUCUUAGUACCAAGAGCUGACUUUUCUGGUGCGCACGUCAGUCCACAUGCUUCCAGGUACCUCUCCGUUGUGUCAACAGCUUCUUGCAGAGCGUCUUGCUGUUUACCUGUCGACCCUCCCGUAGUCCACAUGGUGAGGUCGUCAGCAUAUAUUCCGUAACCAAUCCCUUCUAUUUGCUUCAGUUUGGGUAGCGAGCUCAUCGCUAUAUUGAAUAGCAUCGGCGAAAUGACGAAGCCUUGUGGCGUUCCCUUUCGCGGUAUGUCGAAUUUCUCAGAGCGUAAGUUGUCUAUCCCCACUGUGGCUGUCCGUUCUUUCACAAAAGCUUUGAUGUAAUUAUAUAUAUAUUCUUACCGCAGUUACAUACGUUGAGGUGUUGCAGUAUGGCUUCGUGUGACACGUUGUCGAAAGCCCCUUUCACGUCAAGUGCGAGGAUGGCUCUUUUGCUGUGCGUGUCCAGUUUGUCGAUGACUUUUUCUUUGAUAUGCAGUAACACGUCUUGCGUAGACAGGUGAGCUCUAAAUCCGAACAUGGUGUUUGGGACGUGUCCGUUGUCUUCGAGUUGUUCGAUCAUGCGGUUGUGCACCAUGUGCUCAGUUUUCCAGCACACGACGUGAGGGAUAGAGGUCGAAGGUUCUGCACGCUGGUGGGCUUGUUGGGUUUGGGCAUCAUGGAUACCUCGGCAUGUUUCCAUUCCGGUGGUACUUUACUGUUCCCAGCACUCGUUGAUGUAUUUUAAGAGUGUCUACAGAGGGUCCGUCAAAGUUCUGGAGUGUCUUGUUUAUUCUGUCGCACCCCGGUGCCGUGUUGCGGGUGAGCUUGCUCAAGGCCCUCUCAAUAUCUGCUUCUGUGAAGGGCCGAUCCAGUUCUAUAUUUGGGUUGCCUCGAUACUCGUCAAAGUGCGAAUCUACAGUUAUGUUCCGCUCUGUACCGAGGAACUUCUCCUUCACUAUGGUGAUGUCUUUCUCUUUCCCCGGGUGAUUAUGUAUGUCUCUGCACUUUCUGUUUUGCGGCGUUCUUUUUCUCCUUCUUCGAUAGGAGUGUCUUGAGUACCGGCCAUGUGCGCUUGCUGCUUAAGGUCCCUUGAAGCUUGUUACAUGUUUCGCGUCAGUUCUGUUUUUCAAGUUCAGAGUACCCUUGCGUUUCCUUGAUCAGCUUAGAGAUUCGAAUUUUGAGCUUCCGGUUGCAUUUGUUACGCUGCCAGCGUUUCGCGAGUCCCCUCCGCGCCUCCCACAGGUGGAGUAAGCGGGGGUCGGCCACGGGGGUGACUUGCGACAGCUGGAUUGUCUUCGUAUGCUUCUCGGCUCUUUCCACAACUCCUCUGAUCCAUAUUUCUAUGUCGUCUAUCGUAGCGUUAUGCGCGCUCUCGUCUUUGCGAAAGGCCUGCCAGUCUGUGAUCUUGGCUUUUCCAAUCUUCAUUUUCACUUUGUGGUGCGGGAUGAUCGUUUGCGCUACAUAAUGGUCGCUACCCAGAUUCUCGUCCAUGCAGCUCCACUCUACUGUUUGAGUCCAUGUACGAAUGUGAGGUCGGGGCUGGUGUUUCUAGAUACUGUUGCCGAUGCGCGUGGGUGUGUGCGGGUCGUUGAGUAGCGUGAGGUGUUUUUGGGCUACGUUGUGUACAUCUUUUUUCUUUGAGGCCACAUAUCACGAGGCCACACGGGGAGCAUUAAAAUCACCGACUAUCAGUCCGUUACCCUUGCUCAGCUUCUUCACUUCUAGCAUUAGCUUGUCUAGAUCCUUUAGGUAGUCCUUUGGCGGGCUGUACACGUUUAACACAAAAAGGCUUUGCUGUUUUUUCUCGGGUAUGAUUUCGACGAGCGUGUGUUCGAUGCGAUAUUGGAUGUCGCGUCGUUGAGCGUUGAUGGCCUUCUUGGUCAGGAUUGCUGUCCUCGUCUUACCGUCGGUGACGUGAGUUAGGUAACUACUGACCUUGAAGUCUUCAGCUCCGGUUUCUUGUAAGGGUAGAAUGUCCGGGUUAAACUGCGUGCAGAAUUGUACAAGGUUGCUUCUCUUCAGAUAGAAUGACAGUUCCAUUGCCAAAUUUUGAGCCGUGGGUGUUGCUUGUAUGAUGAUGAAAAACGUUUAUUUGCUCUAUUUUGCAGUGAUUUUUGUGGCUUCAGAUGGAAUCUUCCAUCUUCGCUCCAGGGUCGGUUCCCCUAGCCCAGGGCUCCGCUGAGGGUAGCUGCCCUGCGUGCACACCUUAUUAGUCCUUUGACUUUCAGAUGUCGCUGGAUAGCAUCCUCCCACUGUUCCGCACUCGGGUUUUUUAUUAUGGCUAGCCCAUCUGUUUUCUGGCAAGCCCAUGUGGUAUGGUAUAGGGUUGGUUUGUCUCCACACCAUGGGCAUUUGCUCUUACUGCUUGGGGUAGAUUUUGCUUAGCAUGUUUAGGCACGGGAAUGUUCCCGUUUGUAGCUGUCGCCAUGCUACGGCGUCUUCUCUAUUCAGUUGUUUGUGAGGGGGCGGGUAUUUUCGUCUGAUCCCUCUGUAGUAGUUAAGCAUCUCUGAAUAGCUUUGGGCUACCGGCUCGGGUUCCUCAGCGGGGUCGGGAUUGUUGGAUGCUCGGUUUGUUGCGUGCCCUCGAGCUAUCCUAUCCGCCUCCUGAUUGCCGGUAAUGUCGGUAUGUCCCGGCACCCAAACUAUCGUGUGUUUGGCCUGGUUGUUGACGGUUUUGCCACUUGAGCGGAGAAUGCGGAGCGCACUGUGGCUGAUUCUGCCGUUUAUGUAGUUGCGGCAUGCUGCUUGUGAGUCUACCUUUGGAUCGGUAGCCCCUCCGCUGCCGCUAGAGCCACGGCUGCCUCUUCGGCCUCAACUACCGUAAAGUUCCGAAUUGAUGCGCUGGUGAUUUUUUUUAGGUUCGAGUUGAUCACCGUUGCGACUUUGCUUUUCUAGUGGUUUCUGGACGUGCGAAGACGACGACGAAGUGUUUCUAUCAUAGAACGCUUGUACCUUUGUCUCGCUUUGUUUCUUUCGAAACUCUGGGAGCUGCCGCUCCCUUGUUGCGGCAAUGGAUGAAGAAGCCCUCGAAGACCUUCCUGGAGUCAAGCCAUCACGUGGUGUCGCGUCCAGGAAACGUGGAAAUGCGUCAAGUGACACGGACAGCGAGGCAACCGAGUUGUACUCGGACAGCGUCGACUCGUCGGACGACGAUUUCACACUUGUCAUGAGCCGAACCACAAAAAGAAGACUGCUACGGAGGUCAUCGUCGCCAAGUGUCUCCGCCGUGAAGAUGCCUCAGCGCUGGCCGCACACCAUGCUCUUCAUGCCUGUGGACCCAGUGUCCAAUCUUCGACUUCUAAACAGGCAAGUCCUUUCUGCGUUUCUUGAGGGAAUCGCGCCAAACGAGAUAAAGGACGUGAGAAUAAAUGCACGGAAGAAUGUCCUAGCAGUAGAUGUGCUACACCGUAGUGCACUGCAAAGCCUACGGCACGUAACGGAAAUCGACAAAGUACAAGUGCGAUCCAUGAUACCUACAGGCUGCAAUGGCACUGUCGGCGUCAUUUAUGAUGUCGAUAUUUCUAUACCAACCAACGACUUACCUAUAUUAAUAAAGCCAAGUACAGAAGGCACUCUUAUCACGCACAUCACAAGACUUGGCAACACACGUUGCCUGAAGCUGUGGUUUGAGGGAGACAGCCUUCCCUCACACGUCAAAGUUGGCCACGUCCGCCAUCCAGUCCGCCCAUACGUACCGAAACCCCUGCAAUGCUACAAAUGCUGCAAGAUGGGACACGUAAAAGGUGUCUGUAGGAAUAACCUCGUGUGCCCACGGUGCGCCGAAUCUCAUUCAGCAGAUGCCUGCCGCGCAACUGUGUUGAAGUGCCCUAACUGCCAUGGUACCCAUGAGGCCUCAUCCAAUGAUUGCCCGCGGGUGAGGAACGAGCGAGCAGUACUCAAACAUAUGGUACGGGACCAUUCAACACACAGAGAGGCUGCCGCUACUCUCAGGCGACGACGACAUCGGCACCGUGGAGCAGCACGAAGAGUUACGUCUACUGAGAUAUACGCACUCUUCCGGCAAAGCGGCUAUCGUAUCAAUGCCAACUUCCACAAAGACCGACAGUGCGAAAACGAAGACUGGGGCAACACUCUCGCCUCCUGAAGAGUGUCCUACACUUCCACGAGCACAACCUGCAUCGGAGUCGCAUCAAAUUGCGCCGCCCUCAAUGACCUCACGAACCGAGGAUGCGACGACGACUGAGGAUCGCCAAGUCGUAGUGAUGCUAAAGUCACUUAUGGACGCCAUGCGCAUUCUACUGCGCAACAUGAAAACCCCGUCGGCACAGAGCGCACUGCAGGUGCUGGACACCUUGAGUCCGGUGCUUGCGGCUCUAGGGUAAAACCACGGCCCGAGAAUUACCGUCGUUUCAAGAGGAGGUCAAGAAUGCAUUAGUAUUUCAGUGGAACGCCAGAGGGCUUAAGUCACGCAUGUCCGACUUCAGACAGUCUGUAUUUACGCACGAAUUCCCCAUUAUCGUGAUUUGCGAGCCCAACCUGUCAGCUCCCAUCAGACUGUCCGGGUAUGAGUGUUUUAUGUCCUCUACCCACCGAGAGUGCAGCAAGGUCGUUGUGUUUAUACGCCGUGACUUGACUUAUGUACAUCACCUAGUGCCUCCUGACGAAUCAAAUCAAUACGUUUGCUUAACAGUGAAGAAGAAAAAGCUCACGUUCACAAUUCUUGGAGCUUAUCUCCAACAAGCCGUCUAGAUUGUGAGAGCUUACGGGGAAUUUUGACAUCGACUCCACAGCCGUGGGUGCUCACUGGUGACUUUAACGCCCACCAUUACCUAUGGGGAAGCUCCAAAGUGAACUCUGGAGGCAGAACGUUGGUGUCCUUUGCCAAUGAACUCAAAUUUUGCCUGUCAAACGAUAGAAGCCCUACUUAUCUGCGUGGAUCAGCGUAUAGUAGCUGCUUGGACCUUACCUUCGUUUCACGUUCGCUUACGAGAAGAGUGCACUGGUUUUCGGAUUUAGAAACGCGGGAUAGCGACCACAUCCCAACCUAUUUGAAGAUCGUUGACUAGCUCCAAGUCCUCCAGAACCAUCCAGUGCACCGAUUGGCCUAAAUACAAAAUAAUAAUGGAAGACUGUUGUCGUGACGGCACCUCGUAUAACCUACAGGGCGCGAUAAAGGAUGCCAUACAAACAACCACGCAUUUGCUUUCGAAGUGUUCUUCCCGCACCGAUUUCGACAUCGAACUAUCGAAACUUCGAGCAAUUCGCCGUCGCGCGGAGCGAAGAUAUAGACGCACGAAGUCCAUUUAUGAUUUGAGAUUGGCUAGACGAACACAAAAGAAAAUACAGCGUCGCAUGAACAAGCUGGCUUCACGGCAAUGGGUAUCCUUUUGCGAGUCUCUGGAUCCACGAAAACCUUUGUCGCUUAUAUGGAGGACUGUUCGUGGCCUUCGCACAACCUUUGGUCAGCGCCACCCGUUUAAAUCUCUAGCACUCCAUCUACAAUGUAGAGAUAUUGACGUCGCUGAAUCUUUCUGCAGAAAGAUUGCUGGCGAAGCAAAUUCCGAUGGAACGGGUACGGGAACGCUCGACCACCCACCGUUUUCAUGCGAUCCCCGCAUGGAAUGCUCUUUUUCUAUGGAAGAACUAGAAGCUGCGCUGGCUUUGUGCAGGCGUUCUUCAGCGCCAGGACCUGACGGCAUUACAUACCGUGCCCUGUGUAAUCUAGGAGGCCAAGCUCGGAAGGCGCUCUUGCUCCAGUACAACGACUCCUGGCAGACGGGUACGGUUCCGCAAGAGUGGAAGUCAACUCGCCUCAUUUCACUUCUGAAAGCUGGCAAGUCGCCUUUGGACAUUUCCUCAUACCGUCAGAUAGCACUUGCCAGCUGUGUCGGAAAAACAAUGGAAAGAAUGAUUUUAACACGUCUGGAAUGGUACUUAGAGUACUGUGAAAUCUACCCGGAUGCAAUGGCUGGAUUCAGACGUGGCCGUUCGUCAACAGACAACGUUGUUGACUUGAUAACGUUUGUGCAACACCAAAAGGCCUGUAAGCGACUAUCUGCUGCUCUGUUUCUAGACGUUAAAGGGGCUUAUGAUAAUGUCACCCAUGAAGCCAUCCUUGGCACUUUAGAAGCCGUCGGACUUGGUGGUAAGAUGUAUAUGUGGGUGUGCAGCUACUUACAGAGACCAUUCUAUGUCGACACAGAAAAUGGCCCGACAUCCGAGCAUUACGGUAGCCGAGGAGUCCCUCAAGGCGGAGUGCUUAGCCCGACUCUUUUCAACCUUACCCUCUGUGGAUUAGUUGACAACCUGCCAAGCACCGUACGACUUUCCAUCUAUGCGGACGACAUCUGCAUUUGGGCAUCAGGUGUGACACGACUUCAGCUUCGCGCUCGACUUCAGAAGGCUGCCACAAUGACAUCUUGCUACCUUCCUGAACAAGGACUUGAAAUUUCAUGCGGGAAGUGCGCAAUGGUGGCAUUCACGAGAAAGCGAAUAUCUGCUUACGGCGUAUCUAUUGAGGGGCAAAUUAUACCAUACAGCAGAAGUCACAGGUUCUUGGGAGUCGUAAUUGACAGAGACCUAUCUUGGACUCCGCACGUGAAUUACGUGAAAAAGCGGCUGACUGCUAUCUGUCACCUGUUCAGGUUCCUUGCAGGAAAAAGUUGUGGAGUAUCGCUAUGUUACAGCUGUACAUGGCGUUGUUCGUUGGAAUCCUGCGAUACAGCCUGCCUGCAAUAUAUAUCCAACACCUGCAAGACUAACCUGCGUAUGAUUCAGAGUAUUCAAGCCCAUGCCCUUAAGAUAUGUCUUGGCUUACCACGCAGUGCAUCAACAGCUGAAACCAUUGCCCUUGCGCAGGAUUACCCAAUCACGACGCACAUUACCGCUGAGACACUGCGUAUGUAUUUCAGGCAUUGUGCUAGGACCCCUUCCCACCACUUGGCAAGCCUCACUGCUGCAAGGCCCUGCUCGACAUUUAGCGACAUUGUCAGUGCACAUCGUGCGUCGUUUACUUCAGGGUACGCACCUGCGGCCAAGCCAGCGUUUCCUCCGUGGUGUUUGAGCCGUCCACAAGUACAUAUCAUGAUUCCAGGACUAUAGAAGACAGAUCUACCGGCCCCUGCUCUAAAACAGCUGAGCUUACUUCUUUUGCAUGAAAAGUACAGGAACCAUGUGCACAUCUAUACCGAUGGAUCGACUACGUCGUGCAGUUCUGGUGGUGCCGUGGUUAUACCAACGCGAGGAAUGACACUACGCUUCAAGACAUCGCAUGUCACGACCUCAACGGCGGCAGAACUAACGGCCCUGCGUCGAGCACUGGAAUUCAUCGAAUGUGAAAGAGCUAGAAAAUGGGCUGUGUUCUGUGAUUCAAAACCGGCAUUACAGUGCACGCAGUCAGUUCUCCGACACGGAUCCCAUGACCAAUUGACAUAUGAAAUCGCGAAACUUUACUGUCAUGUCCAACAAAAAGGUCACGAGGUCGUUUUUCAAUGGGUACAUGGCCAUUGUGGAAUCAGUGGCAAUGAUUGCGCCGAUAACGCUGCUCGCACAGUACAUCAUGAAGAGCACAGCGUUCCAAUUCCGCUUUCGAGGACAGACGCCGCAAUGCAGCUUCGACACCUGGCACGCAGUCUCACACUGACCGAGUGGAACUCGCCAAACUUACGACUUACACGACUGCAUCGACUAAACCCCUCCCUGCAACUCCGACCUCCACUCGGACUUCCUCGACGUGAAGCUACGCUUCUCUGUCGCCUUUGGUUAGGAGUUGCCUUCACAAAGGCAUACUCUACAUUAAUUGGAAUGACUGACAGCGCAGCAUGCGAGGUCUGUGGCACCGAAGAAAACAUCGACCACCUGCUGUGCCACUGUCCACGAUACACCCCUGAGAGACAAGAACUUGCCAAAGCUUUUCAAAAACUGGACAAUCGGCCGCUUUCUGUGCAGGUGCUGUUGGAACACCGCCCCCAUCGCCCGUCGGCCCAUAAAGCGGUGAAGGCACUUUUGUGCUACUUAAGGACGACGGGCUUGUGCGACCAUCUGUGACUAUUAAUGCAAUUUCUGUAAGGCCACACACGUCAGCGAACUCACCGCAAUUUCCUUCUUUCCUUCUUUCCUUCCCUCUCUUUCCCUGUUAUCUUUGUUUUCCCCUUUCCCAUUCCCCCGGUGUAGGGUAGCAAACCGGACGUUAUUCUGGUUAACUUCCCUGCCUUCUCCUUACUUCUUUCCCUCCUCCUAGUGGUUUCUGUCCUCAGUAUAGGUAGCGGCGUCUACGUACACCGUGUCGUGUCUAGUUGCUAGUGUUUGUACAUACUGUGCUCUUGCUUGUCUUCGGGUCAUGUGUAGGUUCGGGUCCAUAUUGCUGGGUAUCGGUGCUACUUUGAUGGUGUUUCUGUAUUCGUCCGGUAUCGUCUCCGUGCUUUGUCUCCUUUAUGGUAGCUUCACCGCUGUAUCUGCUCAGGAGUCUUCUGCCCGUUGCCGAUAGCUUUAGUCUUUGGAUUUGCGCGAUUAUCUGCGCUUCUUGGAGCUCCUCGCGAGUGUUGUGUAGCCACAGGGCCAGGAGUUUGUCGGUCGAUGUUGACUGCGGUAGGUGGAGCGCCGUCUUGAGGUCUUUCCUCAGGAUUGCGUCCGCUUGUUGCAUUUCGUGCUUCGUACAGUGGCAGUACGGGAGGCUGUACGUCACUCUACUGACCACCAGGCUUCUGACCAAUUUGAGUGUCUGCUUCCUUCAUGCCGUGUCUUUUCCGCGAGACCCGCGUUAUCAUGCGGGCCACUUGGUUGGCUGAAGUUAAGUAGUGUAAGGUGUGGGUACAUCGUUGGUUCGAUUGUAUCCACAUUCCUAAUAUCCUGAUGAGCGUCUUCUCCGCGAUUGGCUGUCCCUCGAGGUGGAUGUUCAACUUCAUGUUUGCAUCCUCUGGGACGGUGCGAUUCUUCUUGCCUCGCCAUACUCUUAGGAGCUCGGACUUCUCCGUUGAGCAGGCUAGACCUCUUGCCUUGACAUAUUCCUUUACGCAUGUCGCAGCUUCUUGUAAUCUUUCUUCCUUUUCCCUGAGUGAGCCUUUGGUGACCCAUACAGCGAUAUCGUCGGCGUACAUGGCGUGGCGUACGCCGUCGAUUUGGUCUAGUUGUUGGGCCAGUCCAAUCAUGGCAACAUUGAACAGGAUGGGUGAGAUUACCGAUCCCUGCGGUGUGCCUUUGUUUGGGGUGUUGAACUUUGUGGAUCUCAGCUCGCCCAGGCCGAUUGUUGCUGUUCUGUUGGACAAAAAUGUCUUGACGUAGCUGUGUAUUUUCAUGCCGCAAUUUAGGUCGUCUAGUCGUGUCAGGAUGGCUUCGUGGCUUACGUUGUCAAAGGCGCCUUUGACGUCCAGUGUCAUGAUGUGCUCUCCGUUGAGCGGGAUAUUGCUCAGUACCUCUUCUCUGAUUUGCAGGAGUACAACUUGGGUCGAGAGCCUAGCUCUGAAACUAAACAUACUGUGGGGUGUACAGCUCGUUUUCUUCCAUAUGAUUUUGUAGCCUCCUCAUAACCACUCUCUCAUAGAUCUUGCUUAGGCAUAAUGUAAGGAAGAUUGGUCUGAGGUUUUCCACUUAAAGUUUCUUUCCUGGUUUCGGGAUUAUGACUUCCGCGUGUUUCCAUUCUUCUGGUACUGUUCCAGCUUGCCAGUGUCCAUUGAGGUAUUCGGUUAGCUUUUCGACUAGCUCGUCUCCGAGGUUGCGGAUGAGCGCGUUUUUGAUCUUGUCCGCACCUGCGGCUGUGUUCUUUGUUGCGCUUCUUAUCGCCGCGUACACCUCUUCCCGGGUGAUGCGUCUAUCCAGCCUUCCAUUUUCUUCUCCUUUGUAGCGCUCUGUGUAGGCUGCUGGGUCGCCGUCGCCGUAGCACUUUUUGCGUAUUUUGUCCAAUAGUUCCGAGUCUGUUCUCUCGUACUGGUGCACCAGUCGCUAUAUGACUUUGUUGUUUUCGGUCUUUGAUUUUGCCGGAUCUAGGAGUGCCUUGAGUAUGCGCCAUGUUUUUGCAGUGCUUGUAGUCAUCUUUCUCUUUAGUUAGCCUCGCCAUCUUGUUCGCUUAGGGUCUGCAUGAUCUUGGCUUCUCUCGCAGGGUACUUAGGCUUCUUGCGAGCAUUAUCUUUCUUCUAGCAUGUGGAUGCGUUUAUUGAAACUUUCUCCCGAUUGAGUCAUUUUGUUUGUAGGGCCUGAAUCUGGUUGUCCAUUUCGCUUUUGAGAGAUUGGUACCCAGUCUGUAUCAUCUGGGUUACCGUGUUUUGCCUGACCUGUGUUACCGUGGACAUUGUGGUUUCCAUCAUGGCGGUCACGCUGGCGUUGAUGCGGUCUUCAAGUGUCUUGAGGUCGUUCUGGGUUAUCACCGCUUGCUUCGACAGUGUUGGUGGCUUUGGUUGUGUUGCUGAGGAUGGUGGGGCCUGAGGAUGGUUGUGGUGCUGAGGGUGAAGGUCGCGGUAGUGGUGUUUGCGAUUGCUGGCUCUUUUCGUAGUUUUAUUUCUUGCAUGAGGUAUUCGAGCUGUUUUUCAGUGCUAGCUUCCUUCUCUUGUGUCUUCUUUUGCUGUUCUAGCUCUCGCUUCAAUUCAUCGUUCCGUCUUCGGAGAAUCAUUAUCGUGUCCUCGUACCUCGAGUGUAUUGUGGUUUGAACGCCAUUAUUUUCCCUCGACGUUGAUUGUGCCCUGUGAUGACGCUGGCCCAGCUUACCUUGCGCUGGGUUCGUGUUCCACGCCCGUUGCCGGUAUCCGGGGGAUGCUCUGUUCUCUUUCCCUCGGUCUCAAUCCCGACUGGGAUCUCGAUCUUUUUGUCUUUUCGGUCUCAUUCGGUGACUGUGGCGAUGGUGACAUGGUCAUGUGCUCGUUGUCGUUGGUAGUUACUACGCUGGCCUGGUACCAGAAUCUUCUGUCUCAAUCUAGACCGCUCCCUGAGUCUCAACGGUGGCGGGGCCGGUUUCAGCUUUCUUCGACAGUCUCUACUCGCCGUUUCAUGGGGCAUUCCGCAGAGCUUACAUUUCGGCUCGCAUUGGUGGUUGUUUGGAUCAGCGUUGUGUUCUCCGCAGUUGUCACAUACUUCGUCAUUUGGAUUAGGGCAGACUUCUUGUCUGUGUCCUAUCUCCCCGCAAUAUCUGCAGUACUGGACUGACUUUCUGUAGGGUCUACAGCGGGUGAGCGUACAUAAACUUUAACGUAGAACGGCACAGGCGGGCCCUCGAAGGUGAUCACUGCCGACGUCGAUCUUCCCAGCAUUCUAGCGUAGAAGAUUUUGCAAUUGUUGGUCGUUACUAGUAGAUCUACUAGCUGCUCGUCGGUGGUGCCUUCCUCUAUUCCGUGAACAACGCCACGUACAAUGCUCGGAAUUGGCUUGAGGUACGGUGUCACUUCGUAUGUCGCGUGUCCUGUUUCGAUGCUUAUUUCCGCUAGUGCGCAGUCCUUCGGUACUUGCCAGAAUUAAGUUUUGUUGCCACUGUGUCUGUAUGAUCACUUUGGCGUAGAGCUCCUGGGGUGUGACUCCGCAUGCUUGGGCUAAUCCUCUUGCUAUCACUCCGCUUUUCCAGUUUGAUACUUUCCCACCGGCUUUAGGUCUGCACACAAUCUUCUAAUGGUUUUCUGGUAGCGGUGGAGUCGUUGGCCAGCGAGGACGUGGCUUGCUUGCGUUGGUUUGGGCCCAUGGCUUUUGAGGAGCUUGUUGCCGUUUUCCAUCAUUCGUGUUCUGCCCUUGCUGUGUUCGUGUGAGGACUCCUUCUGCGUAUUCGACGUUGCAAUGGAUUCUUUCUUCUUCUGAUGUCGCGCUUGUAGCAUCACCCACGGUCCGGUCUUGCAUAGUGUUUUUCCGCUGUUGCUGUCGAACGUCGGCUCCGUGUCGUUCAUCUCUGCUUCAUUAUUUGUUAUUCCUGCUAUGCAGCUCGUUCGGUCAACUUCCAUAACGCUUGGUUGCGGCUACGUUUGAAGAGAGAAAAAACAUUAAAAAGCCGUUGUCGGGUGGCCCGGCGUGCACGCAGAUCUCGAGGCGCGUGGCCCCGGGCAGCGGGAUCGGCAAUCGUGGGUAGGCUUAGCUGAGCACGGCCGUCGCCUUGAAAGUUUCAGGAAUAGUACUUGCGUGGAGAAUAAACUCACGUCGGUGUGCGUGGUCUGUCUGAAUGGCGUUUCUUGAGAUGAGUCGAAUGCUGCGGACAGUCGGACGUUGCGAGGGGGCGAUCCGCAGUAAUUGCAAGCUGAAGUUAAGAGGUUCCUGGUUUUAUGGUUUACUAUCGUCUAGGUACAUCCGCUUUUGGAUCGGUCGAACCGCUGGUUUCUUUGGCUUUGGUCCUUGGUUUGAUCUCGGUACUCGUUUCAGCAUUUAGCGGAUUUAUUCAGGCGUCUUUCUCGUGCCAGAAACGAGGUCUUCACCGUUCUCGGUUCUUCCACGUCGCUCAUCACUGACUCGAAAAGAUCAACAUGCCGCUACAAAAGGACACAAUGUCAAAGAAUGGGAAAGGGGAGGGUGCUUAUUCUCGCCAAAACAUUUCCUGAUUUGCACAUAGUAAUGGGCGUCCAUCUUUAAGAGUGGUUGUUGGUGUGCUUGACUAAUCAAAUGCUUUUAUGGAUCUAGAUGGCCCAACUUAUGUGUUACCUGUCGUUUGUUUAUCGGACAGGGCUAUCCGCUGUCGUCGCUUGUUCACCGCGUAUACAGCGCCUUAGUUUGAUAUUUGUGUGUCAACUAUCACCUGCUCUGCAAGAUCGGUAGGAAUACUGAGGCGCCAUGGCGCCUUUCACCCGACUGUGACGUCGUUGACUGCUGACUGUAUUUCAUAUUACACACAUUUGUGCAAUUUCGUGAUUAAAGUGCACCGUGUGAGCCAUUGUCACAGCGCCUUCGAAGGGGCCACAUGUACUCCCCUUAUGCCAAGUCAUGUGUAAACACGUCUAAACAAGUGACGUGCACCAGCAUGCUCAAAAAAUCUUCAAAAGAAAAUGUGCGCUUUACUUGCAUUUUUUGUGUUGAAGCGAAUUAAGUUUACCAGUGUUUUCCCUGCAAUUUUUUUAUGUACGCUGUUAGUCUUUCCAUUGAUCUUCGAAUGCAUCUGAAUGCGUUUGCUUUGAAGUGUCUGAAUUUGUGCAUGCUACCGCUAUUGUCCUAAUCUUGAUAUAAGGGUGCACACUUGAUUUAUUACGAAUUACUUUCAUUGUUCUCAACCUCUAAUAACCUUACCUCUGCGUUGCUCGAUAACCAAAUAAAAAAUUUGCCCUGUCCUUUGUAAAUGGUUACGUGUGCCGCUUUACUCUGCGUUUUUUUUCGCUGCUUUCAUCCGCUGUGAUGAAAAAGUCGAGCGCACCACGCAUGCGCUAUUGUGCUCAGUCGAAUGCAUUUUUCUUAACCUCGAACGUACACAGCGCAAUGGAGCCUUACUGUGUAGUCUUUUUAUUUUCCAUCUUCAGUUACACGACAGUCCUGCAAUUGCCCCACACAAUACUCACAAUCGGUUUACCAUACGACCAGUGUGGUGAUUUUGACUUGAUUUGCAUCCGCCAUGGUUGCUUAGUGGCUAUGGUAUUUGGCUGCUAAGCGCGAGGUCGCGCUAUCGAAUCCCGGCCACGGCGGCCGCAUUUCGAUGGGUUCGAAGUACGGAAACACCCGUGUACCGCGGUUUAGGUGCCCAUUAAAGCACUCCAGAUUGUGCAAACUUCCGGAGUCUCCCACUGCGGCGUGCAUCAUCAGAUCGUGGUUUUCGCACGUAAAACCUCAUAAUUUUUGUUGGUAUGUGUCAUCUUGGAGGCUUUUUUUUGUCUAACGCAAAUCGUACGUGGACGCAAAGAAAAAACACACCCACACAGCACUCAAUAGUUCACAAUACGACAGCGAUGCACGAAGUAACUAAACAUUGAGGUCAUAUUAGAGGAUGUGACGUGGUAUAUAUAGAUCGUCUUCUAGAAAUGUGUUGUAGUCUCUUCUGUGCGUAUCGAAUCCAUCUGGGAAAGUUCAAUGACUUGCGCGCUUUCUCGUUUACUGAAAACAACUGCCGAAAGCGUUUUUUUUUCAUAUCCCAGCGAAGGUGCUUUACAAGGCUUACCCAUUUCAGAUAAUUUUUACAGCUUGAAGCUAUUUGAACUUUACUGUAUUCAAAGAAGUCUGUUACUGCGCCUUGAAGGAUGCUGUUAUUUUCGGUUUAUUGAUCUAGGAAAACUGUUUGCCGUUUUACAUUUUUUAUACGUCAAAAUAUCAUGAAGCUGAGAAAUUAUCUGUGCUGUGUAAAUUUCGGUAUGUACGUAUUCGCCAUGUAUUCCUGUACAAAUGCGCAAAUGUAUGUUUGUAUGUUAAUGUACUGUGUAUAUGCUCAUGUUUUCAGCAUCUGGGACGCCUCCAGUCAAGUAGCAUUCGAUCGCUUUUAAUUUCGUUUAUUCAACAGUUGUUUUGUGCUGGUUGUACUGAGCAUGCAUUGUAUUAAACUGCACCUUGCCCAAAUCAUCUGUCAAAA